rnacentral:rRNA from 1 species
AGCCCGGGGGAUCCGCCCACCCGCUGAAUUUAAGCAUAUCGCUAAGCGGAGGAAAAGAAACCAACCGGGAUUCCCUUAGUAACGGCGAGUGAACCGGGAGAAGCCCAACGCCGAAUCCCGUCGCAAGUAAAAGGCUUCGGGACGUGUGGCGCACGGGUCGAAGGCAGCCGUUCGUUUCGUCUCGCGUAGUUCGGAGUUCCCUCGAUCGGGGCCGCCCACUCGGUGUCCAGGCCCAUUCGGUGUCGGACUGGCGUAGCGUACGGCCUUCGAUUCCAGAGUUUCGGUUGCUUGGGAAGCUCGCCCAAAGGGCUG